AUCAAGUGAAAAAAACUUUUUCACUGUUCAGCGUCACACUGUCGAUCAUAAUUUGUCAACAAGCAUUGACUGGAAACGAUCGCAAGGAGUACCGUCCGAAAAUUGUAUUAUACGUCACUUUAAAUAAGUUACAUAAUAAUUCAAGUUUAUCUGCGCUCUCACUGCAUAUUUAUUCGAAUAGAGCAUUAACCACACAACAAUAUUUUACAUUACCUACGCUGAGGAUUUAACCGAUCGAACGCAUGUCACAUUUAUUUUCACGAGUACACGGCAUUUAAAUAAGUAUUAUUUUUUAUGAUUGAAAAAAAUGGGAGUUCAAAUUAUCUUACGAAAUGUAACGACGAAGUGGUCGAUUUUCAGUGGUUCUAGCAAGAGGCUUGUGAUACGGAAAGGAAGAGGAUGAAGCGACAAUCGAGAGGGAAUUUCGAAAGGAAUUGUAGAUACCUAUAGUUAGUAACACGUCGGGUGUAAUAAUUGACGAUGUCGAACGGCGGCGGGAAGUGGGACGAAUGACGAACGACUGAACACGUGCAGCGUGGAUGAAAUGCAAAAAAAGACGUAUUCUCCACACGUGUGGGGGUGUGUGAGUGCGUAUAACUUAUACCGUUGUACUCUAUUGGGUCAUAUUAUGAUGCGAUCGUCGAGCGGCAGAGACAAUGGGGCGAUAAUCUCGAAGUCUGAGACAAUAUUAAUGAUAUGAUCGAUAACGCCAGGCAACGCGACGUAUGCAAUAUUACAAUGUAUCAUUAUGGCACAAUGACGUGCCGGAAGUGGUGGCGUGCUACGUUUCCUGUCAAAUCUCGUUGGCGACUUAAAUAAUUAGCCCGUCAGUCGCUAAUACGAUCGAUCCACAGAAACUUACAAUCGGUUGCGGUCACUCAGGCUGACGUCGACGAAAGGUUUUAUAUUACGUUGUUAUUAUU